CAUCAACUGGGAGUGGCCCAGAAGCCCGAAGCUGAGAGGACAAAGCUCACUGGGCUCAUCUGUUUGCAGCCCCUGUUCCUGGGGAACAAAACCUCCUAGUCAAGAAUCAUCACGCCCAUGGCUACACUACCACAAACACUCCAGUAAAUCAGGUGAACACCCACCCAGGGCUCCAGAGCCUACACACAUGGAACAUUUGUACUUUGGUGACUUCCAUCUUGAAGAUCUACGUGGGCCAAGAGUGAUGCUGACAUUAGCUGCUUCUU
rnacentral:lncRNA from 1 species